ensembl:lncRNA
AUGUGCGCCUUCGGCGAUGGUCUCUCUCUCUUUCUCCCCAGCGGAAUGUGGACUUUGCCUCUUUGGCUUUUCUGCUUGCCCAGUGCUUUGAAGAGUGCCUGGCAUAAGGCGAGUAAAUAUUUGUUGAAUUCAUUCCAGCUGAAGGCUCCAGACCCCGCAGGUGUCCCUCUGCUAUCGGUUUGUCUUGUCCCUGUGCUCAAGGGUCCUGAAGCAGCUGCUAAUAUUUUCCCCGCAGGGAGAGUGAGCAAGAAGCAAUCUUACCCUGGAAUGCUGGAAGAAAUACUCGACAAUGGGCUACCAUUCCCAGGAGGGCUACAACACUGUGCGAUGACCCUGGCUCCAGCCUGGAUACUCUGAUCCGUUUGGAAGGGACAAGAUCAGCUAUGUGAUGCUAAAUGUUAGUGAUCCUUCAAGCAUUUAAGUAAAUUAUGAUGGAUUUAACUACAAAAUUGUUCUUGACAACAUUGUUUCUAAUACCUGAGAAUCAGAUGCAAUCCAAAUAGCAAAUGCAAGACUAAAUAAAAUAUAAAACAUCCAUAUAAUAAAACACUGUCAAUAUAAAUUUUGGCCAAUCUGUGAGGUUAAAAAAUGGUAAUACAAUUUUUGGCAUCCAUUCACAUUUCUUUAAUCUUUUCAUUGGCUCUCUUUCUUUCAGUGUUCACUGCCUACCCACAUUGUAGGUACAUCUUUAUAUUUAGUUAUUUUAAUUUUUUUCUUACAGGUUACCUAAAUGCUUCGUAACUUAAUAAAUUGACUUCUCAUCUAUGAUUGGUGCUAUAAAUAUGACUUCCUGUUCACCCCUUGUCUUUUGACCUCAAUAGUCUUUUGUCUUGAUUUUACCCACAUUGAUGCUUUCAUUUUUCUGAACUAGAUUGAUCAUUCUUUCCUGUGUGGUUUCUGGUUUUCGUUUCCCACUUUGGAAACUGGUUUCCAACUCCAACAUUGUAAAUAUAUUUACCCAAAUGUCUUCCGGAACUUUUAUUGCUUCAUUUUUCUUUAAUAUGUUAAUCCUUGACCCAUCGGGGAUGUAUUUGGGUAUAAGGAGUUAGGUGAGGAUCCUGCUUUAUUAUUUUUUUUCGAAGGGUUGGCCAGUUAGUCUGACACUAUUUCCUGAAUAAUCCCCCUUUCAGACAAACCAUUUCAAUAAAUCCUUUUGUGAGGGGGUCACAGAACCCUUUGAGAAUCUGAAAGCUGCAGAUCCUCUCCCCAGGAAAAAAUAUGUGUCUAUAACACACACUAAAUUUCACAAACAAUUCCCGCAGGGCACGUGGACCUUCUGGAGCACAUCCGUUGACUCUCAAGAGGUCUAUAAUCUCCAGUUAAGAACGCCCUCCUUUAAACAGAAGAAACAGUUCUUAAAUAGCGGGAUUCAGCCUCCAACACAGACCACUGAGAACUCAUUUUGUAGUGGAAAACAUGUUAAAAAUAGUCCCACAACCUCCUCGAGGCAGAAGACUCUGGCCUACCAUUAGGGUUAUAGGAUACUCCAGCCUUCCACCAUCUUAUGUCCUGGGAGCUUAAAACCUUCCACUCACCAUUCUGCUGGCCCAGUGCAUCCAACAGACAGCGCGUUAACCUUUCUCUAGAGUGCAAGUAGCCCUCAUUGAACAACUCGCUCCUGAACGAAUGGGGCAGGUGCAGGUACACUGCUUCAUGUGACUCAGUUUCCCUUGAUUUAUAGUCCUAAUAUUUUUCUCGAGACAGGGUCUUGCUCUGUCCCCAGGCUGGAGGGCAGUGAUGCCAUCAUAGUUCACUGCAGCCUCAAACUCCUAGACUCAAACAAUCCUCCCUCCUCCGCCUCCCAAAGCACUGGGAUUGCAGUUGUGAGCCACCAUGCCCACCCAGCAGCCAAUUUCAGACUCCGUUUUCCACCCCAGAUUUGCCUACACCUCCUGAGAUCUGCUCUUUCGGGUUGUGUGUGUCCGUUCUCAAACCUUCACCCUCAAUUCCUUCCCAUGCAUUGAAAGCCAGCGCUGGCCUUUGGGCUUUCUGGCCCUUUCAGAAAUAAAGGUUUGAGCUGAGCUGGCCCCUUGCACCCUCUUGACUUCUGACUCGGAAGCAGCAGCAGCUCUGACCAGGCCACAGAGCUCGUCUGGACGAGCCUUCCCUCUGCUGGGAUCCUCCGGUGCUACCCCAUUCCACUGGCUCUGAGGAUUCUCAAAAUUCUUACCUGGGAACUUCUGAGUCAGAAAUUCUUGGGGAGGGACCCAGCAAUGUGGGUUUUCACAAGCACCUCAGGGAGGGCCAGCUGUGUCCUUUGUGGGGACCAGGACAAAAUGAAAACGUAGCGCCCCUUAUUCAAAAAAUAUUAAGAAUCUCAGGACGGCAACAGCAGACCACUAAAGCCUUCUGUGUGUGGGGUCUUUCUGAGUGUGGGGGUCUCUCUGAGUGUGGGGAUCUCUCUGAGUGUGGGGGUCCCUCUGAAUGUGGGGGUCUUUCUGAGCAUGAGUGUCUUUCUGAGUGUGGGGUUCUCUCUGAGUGUGGGGGUCUCUCUGAGUGUGGGGGUCUUUCUGAGUGUGGGGGUCUCGCUGAGUGUGGGGGUCUUUCUGAGUGUGGGGAUCUCGCUGAGUGUGGGGGUCUCUCUGAGUGUGGGGGUCUCGCUGAGUGUAACGGUCUCUCUGAGUGUGGGGGUCUUUCUGAGUGUGGGGUCUCUCUGAGUGUGGGGAUCUCUCUGAGUGUGGGGGUCUCGCUGAGUGUGGAGGUCUUUCUGAGUGUAACGGUCUUUCUGAGUGUGGGGGUCUUUCUGAGUGUGGGG